ACCCCCUACAGAAAACACAGAACUCUAAAUGAAAACCACUCUACAGCUGGGGUGGGGGUGUGGGGGUUCAUGUCUGGAUGCCUCUUUGUAUCUUCUGGAAUUUUUUUUUUUUUUUUUAUCUAACCACAAAAACAAGGUUUCCAAUUACACUUUAGAGAAGCUAUUGUACAUUUUUAACAAAAUUCCCCUAAAGAGAAUGGGGUUUCUCUUUAAAGCAUUUCAAAGAUCCUAUGUAAAAGACAAAAAAAAAAAAAAGUUGAAUUUG